rnacentral:rRNA from 1 species
AGCAGCCGCGGUAAUUCCAGCUCCAAUAGCGUAUAUUAAAGUUGUUGCAGUUAAAAAGCUCGUAGUUGAAUUUCGAGAUCAGAUUGUUGGUCGUGCCUCGGUACGUACUGGCAUUAUUGGUUUCUCCCUUCUGACGAACCAUGAUGUCAUUAAUUUGGUGUCUUGGGGAAUCAGGACUGUUACUUUAGAAAAAAUUAGGGUGUUUAAAGCAAGUUCGACGCUUGAAUACAUUAGCAUGGAAUAAUGAAAUAGGACGUUUGAUUCUAUUUUGUUGGUUUCUAGGAUCGACGUAAUGAUUAAUAGGGAUAGUUGGGGGCAUUAGUAUUCAAUUGUCAGAGGUGAAAUUCUUGGAUUUAUUGAAGACUAACUACUGCGAAAGCAUUUGCCAAGGAUGUUUUCAUUAAUCAAGAACGAAAGUUAGGGGAUCGAAGACGAUCAGAUACCGUCGUAGUCUUAACCAUAAACUAUGCCGACUAGGGAUCGGAUGAUGUUAAUUUUUAAUGACUCAUUCGGCGCCUUA